GCUAUACAUGCAGUCGAGCGGACAGAUGGGAGCUUGCUCCCUGAUGUUAGCGGCGGACGGGUGAGUAACACGUGGGUAACCUGCCUGUAAGACUGGGAUAACUCCGGGAAACCGGGGCUAAUACCGGAUGGUUGUUUGAACCGCAUGGUUCAAACAUAAAAGGUGGCUUCGGCUACCACUUACAGAUGGACCCGCGGCGCAUUAGCUAGUUGGUGAGGUAACGGCUCACCAAGGCAACGAUGCGUAGCCGACCUGAGAGGGUGAUCGGCCACACUGGGACUGAGACACGGCCCAGACUCCUACGGGAGGCAGCAGUAGGGAAUCUUCCGCAAUGGACGAAAGUCUGACGGAGCAACGCCGCGUGAGUGAUGAAGGUUUUCGGAUCGUAAAGCUCUGUUGUUAGGGAAGAACAAGUACCGUUCGAAUAGGGCGGUACCUUGACGGUACCUAACCAGAAAGCCACGGCUAACUACGUGCCAGCAGCCGCGGUAAUACGUAGGUGGCAAGCGUUGUCCGGAAUUAUUGGGCGUAAAGGGCUCGCAGGCGGUUUCUUAAGUCUGAUGUGAAAGCCCCCGGCUCAACCGGGGAGGCCCAUUGGAAACUGGGGAACUUGAGCGCACAAGACGAGNCUGGAAUUCCCCGUNCACCGCU
rnacentral:rRNA from 1 species